AUUACAGGUGUGAGCCACCACACCUGGCCUCUAUUUUUUAAAAUGCUGUUACCUUGUUGAGAGGAAAAAGUAGUUCCAUGUGAUUAACUCUAUUGAAUGCAAAGUUAUUGUUAAAUUAGUGAAUUUUUCUUAAAGUUUAUAGCUGGUAAAUGAAAAUAGUGUAUGUGGUUCCUAUUCUUCACUUUGAUAUUUUCACAAACAGUAAUGAUUUAUUAUUUCUGGUGCUUUUCUUCCUCCUCCUCGUCUUCCCUCUUCUUCUUAAGAUCUGCCUGUGCCAUUUAGCAUCAGUGUGACUGAGCUACUCAUUCACCCUGAGAUCCCAUUUUCCACACUUAGAAUCUAUAAAAUGUAGGCAGGUAAUUCUACCACAAGGGAUUGUUAUGAGGAUCAAGGCACAUAUAUGCCACGGAAUACUAU
rnacentral:lncRNA from 10 species